GGCUCUCGACACCAUUCUUGGAUUUAGAGGACCGCUCCCGAGGGGCAUGUUCAUCGUCGUCUGUGGAGGUGCAGGAAAGCAGGUGGGAGGGCCUAUGAAGUUGAAAGUGGCAGAGAGUUUCUCAGGACUUGAGAGAUGAUGGUCCACCCACCAGCAAGCCCCACUGCCUUGAGUACGUGGGCAGGGGCAGACCGGGCAGAGAUGAGGUGCUGCUGCAGGAGGAAGCGGGCGACCUCAACGAUGGAACUGAAGGACCGUUUCAGGAUUCGUUCUGCCCAGUCACAGACACCAGUGUCAACCACAGCAAGACCAGACUGCAGAUGGGAGUAACUCACCCCAGGAACCCACAAAUUCUCUUCACCAUCUGCCUGAGCCAUCGGACUACCACUUCAGCAGUGCUGGACCAAAUCACUCGGCCCAGAAUCCACCUUUUCCAGGUCACAGAGAGAUGAACUAAGAUGCUCAAGGUCAAACUGGCAGCAAGUUGCAAAGCCAAUUAUCUUCUGACGGGGAAGACAACACUGCUUGUCCCACAGAAACCUUUCAUUUAGGCAUACCCUCUUCCUCCUCCUCCCCCCUGCACCAACUCCAUCUCUCUACUGCCCUCUUCCCAAAAACACUUACCAGGAUCCCCUCGACUUUGUUCUGCACGGCCUUGCUGUGGAGGAGAGGAGAAAGCUGGAGGUCACACACAAGAUUUUCCCUGGUGUCUUACUGUUAGGGAGAGGAAGAGGGCUGAGAGGCCUGGCAGGUGCUCAGCAACGGCUACCAUGAUGGAGAAUCUCCCAGUGCUCACAGGCACUUGCUCAGGGAGAGGCAGUUCAUCUACAGAGGAAGUGAAGUGCUACGGUUCUGGAGCAAGACUUGGAGGUGGUGAGGAGUACUUACGAAAUGGUACCUCGGAGCCUCUGAAGAAGGGUGGUGGGUUCUCCCGCCUCAGCACUACCUGAGGGGGCCCGUCCCCCAGUCUUGGGGCUCUUAGCGUCGGGUUCAUCUUCUGCCAUCCUGGCAUGAGGGCUAGAGUUGAGAGGAGACACGACGGGAAGAUUCAACCUCCCUUCCCCUGGAGCCACCCGCCACUCCCCAGGCGCUCCUCGUCUCCCUACCCAGAAACACAGAGAAACAGAAAGCC